rnacentral:rRNA from 1 species
GAUGAACGCUAGCUACAGGCUUAACACAUGCAAGUCGAGGGGAAACGGCAUCGAAAGCUUGCUUUUGAUGGGCGUCGACCGGCGCACGGGUGAGUAACGCGUAUCCAACCUGCCCAUCACUUGGGAAUAACCUUGCGAAAGUAAGACUAAUGCCCAAUGACAUCCCACGAAGGCAUCCGAAUGGGAUUAAAGAUUUAUCGGUGAUGGAUGGGGAUGCGUCUGAUUAGCUUGUUGGCGGGGUGACGGCCCACCAAGGCAACGAUCAGUAGGGGUUCUGAGAGGAAGGUCCCCCACAUUGGAACUGAGACACGGUCCAAACUCCUACGGGAGGCAGCAGUGAGGAAUAUUGGUCAAUGGGCGAGAGCCUGAACCAGCCAAGUAGCGUGCAGGAGGACGGCCCUAUGGGUUGUAAACUGCUUUUAUAAGGGAAUAAAGUGGGUCACGUGUGACUUUUUGCAGGUACCUUAUGAAUAAGGACCGGCUAAUUCCGUG